CUGUCAUAGUCAACAACUGAAAAGUCAUCACACAUCAAAUUUGCAGUUUCCUCCAAGGAACACUUUGGUGACAACAGUCCCUCCAAAAUCUAUAUAAAUUGGUUAAGACCUUUGUUCAAGAGAAGAGGGUGUCUUCCCCUAUGAUGAGCCCCUGGAGCCUCUGCAGAUGGAGAGUGGAGCCUUUGGGAGGUGUGGGCUUCAGAGCCAUGCUUUGGCACUGACGGGUUAGAAUGUCCCUCAGGGGGACUAAAGGAAAACUGGCUGGCAUUGGCUCCAGGCUCAGCAUUCAUCAGACCCUCCCCACCUGGGCGAGGAGAUCAUCUCCACUGGCCACACGGACAAGUCCACCCAGGGCUGAAAGAGAAGCCGAGACUGUGUCACUGGUCUCCAUGGUGAAACGCCUGCUUGAAGAGAACAGAGCUCUCCAAAGUGGGCUUGGACAGCGCCCGUGGAGCAGGACCUGCAGGUGCACAGGGCUGCUCCCCUGCCUGUCGCAGGCCUCCCGAAAAGAAGCCUAUUGUACAAGGCCUGGCCCUACCCUUCGCUUUCCAGAGGAUCCCAGGCACUCAGGCCUCAGAGGAAGAGGCAGGAGAGCACGAUUACUGACACGACAGGACGAGCACCUUCAAUAUAUGUUAUUCCAUUACAGUAAUUAGGAGGAAGCAAGAAAAAAAAAAAUCAAUGGAACCGAGAAGAAAGCCCCAAAUCAGGCUGUGGAUAAACUGAUGGAAAGUUGAGAGCCUGAGACUCAGAAGGCAACUUCUGCAGGUGACUCCUGCUGCUGGGAACUGGAAGGAGAGCAGUGCACUGGAGCACUGGAGCAAGCACAAUGGACUCUGGCUUCACCUCCAAGGACACGUACCUGAGCCACUUUAACCCACGGGAUUAUCUAGAAAAAUAUUACAACUUUGGGUCCAAACAAUCAGCAGAAAAUAAGAUUCUUAGACAUGUUCUGCAAAGCCUUUUCAGGAUAUUCUGUGUAGAUGGCGUGAAGGGAGACCUCCUGAUUGACAUUGGCUCUGGACCCACCAUCUAUCAGCUCCUCUCUGCUUGUGAGUCCUUCAAGGAGAUCAUCGCCUCUGACUACACUGACCAGAACCUGAAAGAGCUGGAGAAAUGGCUGAAGAAGGAGCCAGGGGCCUUUGACUGGACCCCAGUAGUGAACUACGUGUGUGAGCUCGAAGG